GUCCACGCCGUAAACGGUGGAUGCUGGAUGUGGGGACCAUUCCACGCUCUCCGUGUCGGAGCCAACGCGUUAAGCAUCCCGCCUGGGGAGUACGGCCGCAAGGCUAAAACUCAAAGAAAUUGACGGGGGCCCGCACAAGCGGCGGAGCAUGCGGAUUAAUUCGAUGCAACGCGAAGAACCUUACCUGGGCUUGACAUGUUCCCGACAGCCGUAGAGAUACGGUCUCCCUUCGGGGCGGGUUCACAGGUGGUGCAUGGUCGUCGU
rnacentral:rRNA from 1 species